GCUGGUUCCACUCCAUCACCCUGCAAAACAGAAAUCGUCUGCUGUAUGUGGCCAAGGUUUGCUCUAAAAUCAUUGGGCAACCUGUUCGGCCUUUCAUCUCAUUAUGUGAUCAACUGACUGUAAAAACUGCGCACAAAAUAUUACACGACUCCACCCAUGUGCUUUCUUUAGAGUUUGAGUGGCUCCCUUCAGGACGCAGACUUCUUUAGUCUUUUCGCAGCUGUUU